rnacentral:misc_RNA from 1 species
UUUCCGUAGGUGAACCUGCGGAAGGAUCAUUAUCGAGUUUUGAACGGGUUGUUUGCUGGCUCGCAAGGGCAUGUGCACGCCUGCCUUAUCUACUCUCAACUUCUGUGCACUUUUCAUAGGCCGGCUUGUGGGUGCGUUCGCGCACUUGUAGGUGUCGGGCUUAUGCUUUACUACAAACGAUUCAGUUUUAGAAUGUCAUACUUUGCUAUAACGCAAUUUAUAUACAACUUUCAGCAACGGAUCUCUUGGCUCUC